rnacentral:tRNA from 1 species
UGUGAUGUAGUUUAUUUAAAAUACUUGUUUUACACUCAAGAGAACUCUGUGCGGAGCUUUGCUA